UACGUAGGGCGCAAGCGUUAUCCGGAAUUAUUGGGCGUAAAGAGCUCGUAGGCGGUUUGUCGCGUCUGCCGUGAAAGUCCGGGGCUCAACUCCGGAUCUGCGGUGGGUACGGGCAGACUAGAGUGAUGUAGGGGAGACUGGAAUUCCUGGUGUAGCGGUGAAAUGCGUAGAUAUCAGGAAGAACACCGAUGGCGAAAGCAGUCUGCUGGGCUUAUCCUGACACUGAGAUACGAAAGCGUGGGGAGCGAACGGG
rnacentral:rRNA from 1 species